CGGUUUGGGUGGCGGACGGGUGAGUAACGCGUAAAGAACUUGCCUCACAGUUAGGGACAACAUUUGGAAACGAAUGCUAAUACCUGAUAUUAUGAUUUUAGGGCAUCCUAAGAUUAUGAAAGCUAUAUGUGCUGUGAGAGAGCUUUGCGUCCCAUUAGCUAGUUGGAGAGGUAACGGCUCACCAAGGCGAUGAUGGGUAGCCGGCCUGAGAGGGUGAACGGCCACAAGGGGACUGAGACACGGCCCUUACUCCUACGGGAGGCAGCAGUGGGGAAUAUUGGACAAUGGACCAAAAGUCUGAUCCAGCAAUUCUGUGUGCACGAUGACGUUUUUCGGAAUGUAAAGUGCUUUCAGUUGGGAAGAAAAAAAUGACGGUACCAACAGAAGAAGUGACGGCUAAAUACGUGCCAGCAGCCGCGGUAAUACGUAUGUCACAAGCGUUAUCCGGAUUUAUUGGGCGUAAAGCGCGUCUAGGUGGUUAUGUAAGUCUGAUGUGAAAAUGCAGAGCUCAACUCUGUAUUGCGUUGGAAACUGCAUGACUAGAGUACUGGAGAGGUAAGCGGAACUACAAGUGUAGAGGUGAAAUUCGUAGAUAUUUGUAGGAAUGCCGAUGGGGAAGCCAGCUUACUGGACAGAUACUGACGCUAAAGCGCGAAAGCGUGGGUAGCAAACAGGAUUAGAUACCUGGUAGUCCACGCCGUAAACGAUGAUUACUAGGUGUUGGGGGUCGAACCUCAGCGCCCAA
rnacentral:rRNA from 1 species